CGCAGGAGCAGGAGGUGCCGGGUCUUCUCCACCUGAGAGAGGAGGAGGAGAGAGGGAGCGGGCGGCUUUAUUUACAGAGAAACCAAGUGAAAUGGAAGAGCUCCCAUUCAUUCUGUGCCCCUUGACCCUUUGCCCUGGUGCAGUGCCCACCUCAUGCAGCUGCUCCAGCUUGUCCAGCUCCCACUGGUGCUCCAGGAUCAAGCUGUCACCUCGAGGUCUCCAGCCGGCCAGGUUCUCCUCGCCCCGCACGUACGCCACAGAGGUAUCCAGCACCUUCCUCCUCCGACGCUGCAUCCCUGGGGCGGGAAGCACGAAAAUUAAGGAAUUAAUUAGGGAACCAGAAGAGAAAAAUCAUAUCAGUGUAACCGUAGUCCGGUGACUCACCUGGGCUUCCUGUGUCGGCCAUCUUGCACAAGCUCAGCUCGUAGAUCCCUGUCACUCUGUUGCUGUUAGAGGCAGAGAAGAGUGUCAAGAGAAAGAAAGUGUGGUGUGGGAGAGAAAGACAGACUGAGAGAUAGAAGGGAGGAGAGACACACAGAAAGAAUGAGAGAGGGGGAAAGAGGGAAGGAGAAGGGAAGAGAGAGAGAGCGAAAAAGGAAAUAUGCUCAGGCCAGAUAGAUGAGGUCAUACCACUCUGGCGUCUUUGAGUAGCCGCUGCUGAACAGGGUCCUCAGUGAGCGAGGCGGGGAGAUCUUGGCGUCUCUGGAGUAGAACACCAUGGAGACGUCUUUGGUGAUUAUGGCAGGCUGUAUGCAGUGGUCCAGCUGCGGGAACAGCUUGCGUUAGAACUACACGCACAGCGGUCAUAGCACAACAGAAAGAUAACUCACUGUGGUCAGGUUUGCGAUACUGAGAAAACUCCACACAAGGUGAGAAUAUGCACUGUUGUGAUAGGAGUAAAUACAGUAUGUGAAUGUACGCUUGCAAGGAACGUUGUGAUCUGGAAACCCUCUCUACCCUGGCACCAUCUCCUAAUACUGUCAAUGAUUGAAUAACUAGAAACACAAAGGGAACAAAAGUCGGUACAUAUGCUACAAAAGCAGUGUUUGGGCUCACCAAUAAUUUACAAAUAAAAGGUGUAAGGGCCCCUCACUUGGGUACAACUGACUAAAUACACGUCAACUGGAUAUGAUUCACUUGGAAAUGUUUUAGGGUAAACUACUGAUACUUUUCAGAAAAAAAACAGACCUUGGUGGCACUUAUGUUAACUCAUUAAAAUAAAAGAUAAGAGUGGCCUCAUGCUAGCUGCAGAUUCACCUCUAGGUAGGCAGACAGGGUCAUGUAGAUCUUCUCCCCAUAGGGAGUCACACGGUUGAGCAGGAGAGAAUUGUGGAGGGAGCUGUCCCACACAGCCUCAAACCGGUAGAAGGUCCUGUAUGAUAGAAAAUAAAAUACAAUAAUCUCGGCAUAAAGGAAUGCUUUUAUUCAACAGAAGGCACAUUAUUCUCUCUACAAAGAACAGCACACAAACCCUUCAUUCUGCUAUGGCAAUAUGCACAGACACGUCUGUCCUCAAGGAGGUAGAAAUUAAUGUCUCUCAGUUCACAUUUUUUUAAAUUACAUUUUUUCUCUCCCCAAUUUUCAAUCAGCAUAUGUGCCUCAAAAGGCACCGCUGUGCCAGCAGUAACUGUGCAAGGAGCACCACAGCUUGUGUGUGCACUUCUCCGCCCAGUGGGGGACUGAGGAAACCAGCCAAAUUAAUCCCGCCCUCCCACAGCAGGACGAAGCCUCCACACCCUUCCUUUUCGGGCUACUGGCUAAAUACAGAGCCCACUGCAGUCCAACUCAAACUUGCAUCAUAAGUGUGUGUGUGUUCCGUAUGCAGAACAAUACUAAUAUGACAGUUAGUACUGGCUUCCUAAUUUAAGUACAACAUUAAGAAGAGGGUGAAGGCACAAUGCAACACAGGUAGUUUUAGGCGUCCCAGUAAAUCUCAUUAUAAGAACCCUGGUUAAUGGGUCAGAGGAUAGCGACUCCACUGUGGUCUCAAAUGUCCCCACAAAUCACAAGCAUUAUAAAGUCCUGAACAGCACAGCGAUUCUUCACCGGAGCCUAAACCUGCAGAAUUAUACCAUUAGAUACUGGACAUGCACAUUGGCGGUGUCAAGACAGGCACAGCUGAUAUGCACUGUAUCAAAAUACAAUUUUUGCACUAUAUAUAAUUUUGUAUAAAAAUGAAUAAAUAUAAAAACAGACAGACUCACAAACACAAAUAA